ACUAAGGGAGGGAACGGAUUAGCGGACGUUAUCAUGGUGAUUUUGGCAGGGGGUCAUCUGUCCACCGCGAACCAGCGGGAGGCUUGGGCUACACUGAAAACGGACAUGGGCAGCCACAGGCCGGGCAGGGCGCGGUGCCGGGGAAAGGCACACACCCGGGAGACGCGGCGGUGCUGACCGCACGCCGGAGGAAAGGGGAGGGCUUCCGUCGACACAGCCCCGGUCUGCACUUCCCAGGUGGCCCGACCCAGCUGGCUCGCUCAGCGGUACGAACGACCCCGGGGGCUGUAGUUAAGCCGGCCCGACCCAAGCCCGCCCCGCAGACGCAACCAGGGAGGUGAAGCACCAUCUUUGUGCCAGGCUGGUGAAGAAAGUGUCACUGUUCCAGCAUUGUGAUCUGAACUUCCUGAAUGCAGUGAUUAUGCAUUUCAAUAUUGAACUGUUCCAGCCUACAGAGAACUUGAAGUUGUGCAACAGAAUAAAACAUAACAGCCAUGACAAACUGUAGGAGCUGAAGAUGAAGAGGAGCCAAAAAGGAAUAGUCAGUGUCUUCAGAUGCAAGAGCCAUUCCACUGCUGAUAUGUCACAGAUUUCAGCUGCUGGGAUGUGUGAAGGAAUGAACCAGUGCAUCUCACAUCUCAGAGGUUUUUGAGAUCAAGUCAGUCUCUGGGAAGAAUUCUCUUUUGAGUUCAGCUCUGCAAGGUGAUUAUCCUCAUACAUCUCUGUUGCAUUUCUGCAUUUGUUCAGCAUAUACAGUUGUGUUAUCCACUGGGCAAUUUGGAGAGGAGAAUUAAGCAAUGAAGCAGAAAACAGAGCUCUUUUUUAGGCGGUUUCUUUCACCUCAAGUCAGGUCAGGUUCUAACUUACUAUCUUUAAAAUACCUAAUCACCUUGCCUUUGUCUUCUCUGCUGACAUUUAUAUAGAUGGACCCUCUCAUCCUUUCAGUAUUGAACUAGGGAUACAAUUUUCAGAGGUGCCUAAGGGAGUUGGGGAGCCUAACUCCCAUUUUCAAAAGUAAUGUAAGUGUUUGAAGGUCAGUGGGACUUAAGUUCCUAAGGGCCAGAGUUUUAUAGGUAUUUAGGCACCUAAAGACACAGAUGGGUGCUUAGUGGGACUUUGAAAAUUCCCAGGGUGUUAGGGGCCUCAGCACUUGUGAAAAUCCCAUUAAAUGUCUAUCUGUAUCUUUAGGUGCCUGAAUGCCUUUACAAAGCUGGCCUCAACUCACUUUUGAAAAAUGUACCCUAAAUCUUCAACUCAGGCCCAUAUCCAGAUUAUAUUGAGUUGGAUUUUAAAUACCAGUGCCCAGUGUGCUAUUUCCUCCAAUAACUGAGAGCUUGUUGAAUUCGGUUUUCCCUAUAUAUGGUUAAUUCCACAAAGUUCAUGUAUGCAGGGGGGAAAUCUUUUAGUCAAACUCUGCUGUAUGGACCAGAGAACAUCGAAUUUUGCCUGGAACUUGUGUGAAGCUCUCGGAGCCACAGAAAUAACCUCCCUUAGAACUCCAAACUUUCCAGCGUGGUGGCCAGAGGAGUGAGAAUGCUUAUUGUCUCUGUGUGAUGGAAGGUGAUAUGACUGAGAGUAGUGCAGCUUCUGAAAUGGAUGUUUCACAGCAUGUUCAGUGUCACUGUAUCUAUAGUGUUACUAGAAACAAAAAUAUUUUUGUAUUGACGAUAACUAACUCAACUAAAAUACAAGGUUUAAGUAAAUAUCAGAGUCCAUCUAGAUCCCUGACAGAUCAACAGUAAAAAUUAGCUCUUUGUAACAUAUCAGAAAAAGUAAUUAGAUAAGUGAAAAGUGAUGAGAUGUCGAUGUUGGGGGGCAGGGUUGUGUCUGUCUGAAUGGGGGGGUUACAGUAUGUUUUGGGACAUGGAGGGGGGGGGGCUUAAGAAUGAGUGAAUUUAACAUGGUUUGAAAGCAUCAAGAAGAACCAGACCACUCUCUCUCCCUGUGAAGAGUGUCAUACUGCAGGGUGGCCAUCUGGGCAAAGGCAAGUACAAAAGUGAUUGAUGGGAAAACAAAUAAGGCUGGCGAGAAGUUAGGGAUUGUGGCUGCACAAUAGUUUCCCCAAGUAGUUGAUACAUGCUCUCUCCAGAGCUCUUCCUCUGUGAGCACUCCAAUUGAUAGUUUAACUCUUCAGGGACCAUAUGACAAUUCAAGCCUUACAAAGGAACUUAAACACACAUCCACUUUAAUCUCAGAGAGCACACAAGAGUAUUAAAGAUCUACGGAAAAGCAGCAAAUACCUGAGUGCAAUUCUGUCGACUCCUAACUUUGGUCAGUGUUCUUCAGGGAGGCCAGGCCAGGCCCACUCUUCCUGGUGGGUCUUCUAGCUCUGGUAAUGCUCUGGCUCUCCUUGCAAGUGACUAUGUCAUAUUUAAAAGCCGCUUUUGACACCUUUUCCUCCUUCCCUUCUUACAGUGGGAUUUUCCACGCUUCAGCCAUCAAGUGGGAUUGCUGGCAGAGGGUCAUUAAGAGUAAAUGGCUCUGCAGGCAGCAACCAUGGUCCCACCAGGAUUGGCCUACUCAAUGUUGAUGACUCUUUGCUGGCCCUAUUUCAGUUUCGCAGAAACAACUUCUGCUUCUGCCAUAAAAAGGAACUUCUAAUCCACACUGAAGGUUAAAUUCUUAAAAACAUAACAUAAGAAUGGCCGUACUGGGUCAAACCAAUGGUCUAUCUAGGCUGGUAUCUUGUCCUCUGACAGUGGCCAGUACCAGAUGCUUCAGAGGGAAUGAACAGAACAGGACAAUUUCAAGUGAUCCAUCCCUUCUUUUCCAGUCCCAGCCUCUGGCAGUUGGAGGUUUAGGGACACCUGGAGCAUGAGAUUGCAUCCCUGACCAUCUGAGCUAAUAGCCAGUGAUGGACCUAUCCUCCAUGAACCUAUCUAAUUUUUUUUAACCUAUUUAUACUUUUGGCCUUCACAGCAUCCCAUGGCAAUGUGUUCCUCAAGUUGACUGUGUGUUGUGUGAAGAAUUACUUCCUUAUGUUUAUUUUAAUCCUGCUGCCUAUUAAUUUCAUUGGGUGACCCCCUGGUUCUUGUGUUAUGUGAAGGGGUAAAUAACACUUCCCGAUUCACAUUCUCCCCAUGAUUCAUGAUUUUAUAGACCUCUAUCAUAUUCCCUUUAGUCAUCUUUUCUCUAAGCUGAACAGUCUCAGUCUUUUUAAUUUCUCCUCAUAUGGAAGCUCUUCCAUACGCCUAAUCAUUUUUGUUGCCCUUCUCUGUACCUUUCCAAUUCUACUAUAUCCUUUUUGAGAUGAGGUAAUUGCAAUGACUGGAGUGUGGGUGGUCAGAGCUGGAGACAGUGUCUGGUGCCAAGCCAGGGGCCAGAGCCAGAGACAGCAUCAGGGCAAAGGCAUAGGAGUGGGGACCUGGAGUAAGGCAGGCAAGCAGGAACUGGGAAUAGAUGGGGGUCUGGUAUAAAGAAGAUAGGAACCAGGCUCAGGAGCCAGGUAAUCAGGUACAUAAUAGCAGCCAACCAGGUGCUCAGAUAGCUUCCUGUGUUACUUCAUGCCCAUGACUGCUUAGUUUGCUGAAGAGCCUUUGGUGAAAGGCACUGUCAAAAGCUUUCUGAAAGUCCAAGAGCAUGAUAUCCACUAGAUCACCCUUUUCCACAUGCUUGUUGAUCCCCUCAGAGAAUUCUUAUAGAUUGGUGAAGCAUUAUUUCCCUUUAGAGAAGCUGUGUUGAAUCUUCCCUAACAAGUUGUGUUCAACUAUGUGUCUGAUAAUUCUGUUCUUUACUAUAAUUUCAACCAGUUUGCCUGGUACUGAAGGUAGGCUUAUUGGCCUAUAAUUGCCAGGAUUGCCUCCAAAGCCUUUUUAAAAAUCUGCCUUACAUUAGCUACCUUCCAGGCAUCUGGUAUAGAGGCUGAUUUAAGAGGUAGAAUACAUAUCACAGUUAUCAGAGUAACAGCCGUGUUAGUCUGUAUUCGCAAAAAGAAAAGGAGUACUUGUGGCACCUUAGAGACUAACCAAUUUAUUUGAGCAUAAGCUUUCAUGAGCUACACCUCACUUCAUCGGAUGCAGUGAGCUGUAGCUCACGAAAGCUUAUGCUCAAAUAAAUUGGUUAGUCUCUAAGGUGCCACAAGUACUCCUUUUCUGUUUGCAUAUCACAGUUAGUAGUUCUGCAACUUCAUAUUUGAAUUCCUUCAGAACUCUUGGGUGAAUACCAUCUGAUCCUAGUGUCUUAUUACUGUCUAAUUUAUCAGUUUGUUUCAAAACCUCCUCUAUUGACAUCUCAGUCUGGAACAGCUCUUCAGAUUUGUCACC